rnacentral:rRNA from 1 species
UAGGGAAUCUUCCACAAUGGGCGAAAGCCUGAUGGAGCAACGCCGCGUGUGUGAUGAAGGGUUUCGGCUCGUAAAACNCUGUUGUAAGAGAAGAAUGACAUUGAGAGUAACUGUUCAAUGUGUGACGGUAUCUUACCAGAAAGGAACGGCUAAAUACGUGUCAG